UGUUUGGUAUAGGUGUUGGCCAUAGGA
rnacentral:sRNA from 1 species